rnacentral:misc_RNA from 1 species
AAUUCUCAACCCCAAAAGCUUUUGCUUCUGAGGCUUGGAUGUGGAGGCUUGCUGGCUUGUUCAAAGUCUGCUCCUCUUAAAUGCAUUAGUGGAAACUGUUUGUGGUCCGCAUUGGUGUGAUAAUUAUCUACGCUAUUGUGGCUACAAGCUCUGUAGUGUUCGUUUGGGAAGCUGCAUUGAUUUGCUCUUUCUGCUUUGAAUGACCUACUAGAGUUAGUGUCUGCUUCAAACCGUCCUAAGUCACUGGACAAUACUUGACUAUU